UUCUGAAAUCACGAUCGCAGAGCCGAGUAUGAUUCUCACCCUUCCCUGUUGUAGAACCAAAGAGUACAGGCGGCUGGGGACCAAAGUGGGCGAGCGCGAGAGUAUUUUUGGAUCGCACGGGAAACCUGCCACACCAGCAGCAGCAGCAGCAGCAGCAGCAGCAGCAUCGGGGCCUGGUACCGGGCUUCCCUAACCCACUCCCACUCCGAGAGGAAGAACAGCAGAGAGACGUUCCUUCAAAAGAAGAACCACGCUUCCGCUGCAUUUCUUUUUCUUAUUUUUGCUCUCUUUCCUUCAAUUGCCCGGCGUUUGAAUGAUGAUGUAGUAUAUAUAACUAUGCAGAGCCCGACAUGAGCGGGAGAGGGAGAGAGAAUAACGAACUUGGCAGCUUAGGCGAGUAUCCUGUAUUUAUAGAAAGUCGUGUUUCUGGCAGAGGUUUCUGUGGUUUUUAGCUCUCCCAAUUCAUUUGGUCGUGUCUUACAGGCCCUAUUGUAUCCAGGUUUAGAUUGAAGAUGUUCCCUCAUCUAGCGCCUUGGGGGGAGAUUUGACUCGGAGACAUGUCAGGAUGUGAUUUGGGGGAGGCAGAUGGAUCUCUCCAGCUCUUGUGCAACCCUGGCUUUCGUAGUAAAAAAGAAAUCACGUUGCAUCCACGAACUUAACAAGACAAAACAACACAGGACUGAAGGCUCAAUGCAAAUGUGUGCAGCACAGAUGCAUUUGAUUGCUGUCUGGGUGCAGGCAGCGCCGUAACCUUCCUUGUAUGUGUCUUAUAGGUUGUGUAUAACCUCUCCACAUCAUGGGAGGUUUGAAGUGCUUUUUUAUUCCAAACAGCAAGGACAGCCUCGGCAUCUCGGUGGAUUUCCUGCUAUGGAUCAGGAUGUAACGCUUGAAAAAGGCUGCUGGACAACCAAUGGUCAUAACUGGCCCAAAACAUCCACAGAAUCCAGUACUUUGACUGUCCGUUGGAUGGCUCUGCAGAAUCAACACGCCACAGCCCGUAGAUGAUGUUACAUCAGCUUCGUCUCAACCCGAAUGUAGUAUCUUGUUGAAAGCUCUGAUCUCAGAGGGCAGUCGCUCCUCACUGCCUCUUCAACUCUACCGGGCACCCACCUGCAAGCAGAACUCCCACACCUUGUCCAGGAGUGAACCUGAAAAUAACACGGCCAAGAGGUUACACAUACGGCAGAAAGGGCUGGAUGUGCCUUCCCCCGGCACCGCUGGAAGUUGUGGAAGGCGUCGCUCGGAUAAUUGAUAAAGCUGGAAUAAUGCAAUCAAAACAUAAUCAGCAGUGGCAGCUGUGACUGGAUCCUCGAGCAGCUCUGCCAGUGUUGCCUUAAUAAAAUAACAAGUAAUUAAGUAAUUGUAGAUGGGUAAUUAAAUGUGUUACCUCGUGUAGACAGACAAAUUAAUUGGCCAGUGACUACAGUAUGAGACUAUCAAGGCUUUCUUAAAGUAUCGCACGAUAUUCUUUGAUUAAAGCGCUGUUUCAUCUCACUUCCACAGCCAGCGCUUUGAACCUGGUUGAAGCCACUGCCCUUGUUAAAGCAUGGAGGAAUCGCCCGUAUUCCUCCUCCCGCCGCCCGACGGUUCCCUAAGAAACGGGAGCGUUUUGUCUCUCAGUGCUCAGAAGCAAGGGAAUAAAGCGAAAGCUUUCAUUAAACUCUCCCAGGUAUGGCGUUACCCCCGUGCUAUAAUGUCAGUAAGUGCUAACAUUACAUAAAUCCAUUACUUAGUCCCCGUGAUGUGGCAUUUUAUAGAGGAGAGAGGUGAGCCACGCUGCCGUUAUCAUCACAGCUUUCCAUGAUCUGAACUCUGUGUGAUCAGAUUGGUUUUAAUAGACUCUGGAUUACUUGGAGGCAGUUCCUCAAAGCUAAACAUCUCUGGGCCUAGAAUUAGAGUGCACAUCUGAGGUGAAAACGAUUUGUUCUGGAGAAUGUCACUGCUGCAAUGAAAGAGCUUAUACGCUAUUAUCAUACACUACCUUAAAAAGAUGACAGGGUAGCGGCUCAGCGAUCCUUUGAUACAUUUUCCACCACGCAGUAUUGAAGGAAAUAGCAUCAGAUUUGAGUAGUCUCGCAUAAGCAGGCCAUUUAUUAUCUCUAAUAAUGUCUUUGCAUUUGUAUUUUAUUCCCUAUAGCCCACAAGCUUUUUUAUCUUCCGUUAAUGUUGUCUGCAACAAAGCACGCUCCGAACCUUUUCGAACAGCUUGAGAUCUGAGUGCACAGGAGCCCUUUCGUGACAUUUCAGAAUAAGAAUAAAAUCCGGUGCUUAUUGGUAAAGUGCUGUCUGUAGUGAUGUGAAGCGUGUGAUGUUCUGGGUUUGGCCCACUUACCUUUUAACAUUUUUCUGCCACGUGCACUUGUGACCCCUCGACAGAGGUUUGUUGGCUGCUGUGAAACGUCCAGAUGAAGAGUGACUUCGUCUCCUCGCAUUGUUUUACUUGAGCUGCUUUUACAGAGUGUAGUGUUAAACCUGUUUGUCGUUCUCUCCACAAAGAAUAAAAUUCCAACUUAGAUCCUUCACUUUAGUUUGCACAUCUGUGUAAAACAAACAUGAAUGAGACUGGCUUCAGUGUUACGACAAGGACGUUUUAUUUACUUCAAGACCCACUUCAUAAUUUGUAAUGUAGCAAUAUGACAAAUAAACAGUAACACGAUAAGUAAGUAAACGAGUAAAGACUUUGCAUUUAAGGUUCCACUUCCAAGAUAAAUAUAUAAAUGACAAAGCUACACGUUGUCUUUGGUCUCUGGUUUGGAUGUUGUGUUCUGUAGACUUUGUCCUCGGAGGUCGUAUCAGCUACAGCAUUUAUUAUAUUUUCAUUUGUGUGUUCAUCUUUCACAUUGGUUAAACGCAGCAGUACAAAUGUUAAUAUAUCAGUUACUGGGUUAAAUGAUUUUAGUCUUGUCACCUUAUAGCAGCUUAGUUUUUAUUAUAAUAUAAAUGAACAUCAAAGAAUAAAUGAAAAAUAAAUAAUAUAUGGAAAUGACAUGACCAUCACCUCAUCUUUCAUCAUCUAAAAAUAAUAAUCAUAAUAUCAUUUCAUUCAUUAUAUUUUCUGAAGCACAUUUAUACUUUCUACCUAAUCAAGAUGAAGCUAAAAGUAAAUGUAU